GAAACUCGCCUACAUGAAGCUGGAGUUACUAGUAAUCGCAGAUCAGAAUGCUGCGGUGAAUGCGUUCCCGGGUCUUGUACACACCGCCCGUCACACCACGGGAGUUGGAGACGCCCGAAGCCGAUUAUCUAACCGUUUGGAAGAAGUCGUCGAAGGUGGAAUCAAUAACUGGGGUGAAGUCGUAACAAGGUAGCCGUAUCGGAAGGUGCGGCUGGAUCACCUCCUUUCUAAGGAGA
rnacentral:rRNA from 1 species